rnacentral:rRNA from 1 species
UACGUAGGGGGCAAGCGUUGUCCGGAUUUAUUGGGCGUAAAGAGCGUGUAGGCGGCUUUACAGGUCCGUUGUGAAAACUCGAGGCUCAACCUCGAGACGCCGGUGGAAACCGUAAAGCUAGAGUCCGGAAGAGGAGAGUGGAAUUCCUGGUGUAGCGGUGAAAUGCGCAGAUAUCAGGAAGAACACCCGUGGCGAAGGCGGCUCUCUGGGACGGUACUGACGCUGAGACGCGAAAGCGUGAGGAGCGAACAGG